GUUACUUGUCAGAUGUUAAGGUAUAGAGAACCAAAACUCUUCCUGAAUGGAGAGUGUAGGCUGUGUUAAGGAGAGCACAGAGAAGUGCUCCUCUUACAAAAGAAGAAAAGAUUGCUCUUAAAGAGCCAAACCAGUAAAAGCCAGAUGAUCUAUUUGUGGGAGAUAAUUGCAGACUGAAACACACAAAACUGUUAUCAAGGUGACAAAGCUGCAAUCUCACAACAAUUGAAAUGUCAUUGCCAUUUGGAAAAUUGGAAUGCCUGAAGCGAUCCAGAAUGCCUAUUAGAAAACUGUACAAAGUGGCCUUAGAAAGAUGAAGGGACUUGCUGCCCCGUGAAUGACGACUCAGCCAGGCCUGUGGGAUUCCAGAAGCCUCUGCUGCCCUACCACACUACCACCUUCCAUACUUAGUCUAGUGGUGACUCUCACCACACUGGGCAUGCUAGAGAAGGCAGCUGGUCAGAAACUGGAGCUCAGCCCUCUGCUACAGCCUUGUCACUGGCAUCCUAUUGCUCUGAGGCAAACGCCCAGAUCUCAGCUUGAUCUUGAAUUCAUAGGGCUUGAGGAAGGUCUCUCUGUCUGUCUGGACGCACACAUUUCUGAAGGUCUUUGGAGGGCAGUCAUCAUCGGUGGAAAUGCACACGUCUUUCCUCUCUUCACAACCCCCUCGCCAUCUGUGUUCUAGCUCGUGUUUCAGAUUUUCAAUGGUUUCUUCUAGUCUCGCUGUUAUCAUUGCAUGCUCCCCCCGGAUAUGAAAUGCCCGAAGUUCAAACUGGGCCUAUAGGAAAAUUCAGAGGGAAAGAAGUAAUGAGUUUAUUAAGAACAAAUAUAAGAAUUUAGAAACUCAAUAAUACCAUCACGGUGCCACUGUAGCAUGGCCCGUAUAAAUGCAGGGAAAUACAGAGACAUUCUUUUAAGAAUCCCUAAAGGUGUAAAUUGCAGUCUGAAUUUUCCAGGGACCUCAACAGGCAGGAGUCAAAGCACAAUUUCAUCCAGCCUGAGCUCACGGGAGAUAAUUUUCAUGGAUUAAGGCUUAAAGUACAUCUGUUACUUAAGAACUCUUACCCAAUUUGCAUAUCAAACACAUAACUUUUAGUAAAGCUUUGGACAUGCUUGAAUAUCUAUCUGUUUUAUAACUUUGGGGUUUGGUUUCAAAAAAGAAAACUAUAAAGAAAAAAAUAGGUUUAGAGCUCCUCUGGCUUAGAGCUGCUGUUCUCCCAGUCUUCCUUAGAAUGUCUCUUUCACUGAGUUUCCAGGACAAUACAGCAGACACAAAAAGCAAGAGAAGAAGCCACGAUAACUUACUUUUUUAAAGUUUCCCUAUAAAAGCAGCCCAAGAUCAGUAUUUGUGUCUGUUUCAUAAUAUAGCAAUAAAUAAGCAAUACGGAACAU